UUUUGUUUAUUCUUUUUUUAUUCAUCAAUUCAUUAGACUUUUUAUUUUGUUUUUUUCUUUUAUUUCUUUUAAAAGCUCAGCCAGAGUUGAUCCAGCAUGCGUCAGUGUACCGAGGCAACUCCGGUAAUUCCAUCAGACCAACAAUCUUCAGCGCAAUCUCCACAACUCUAAUGUACUUUCUUGUUCGAAUGCUUUAAACUGAUAGCCUAAAUUAUUUAUUUGUUAGUAUCGAUAAUUUAAUGGAGGGAAGACGAGACGCACAACACUAUUUGU